rnacentral:rRNA from 1 species
AGUUUGAUCCUGGCUCAGGAUGAACGCUAGCUACAGGCUUAACACAUGCAAGUCGAGGGGCAUCAGUUUGGUUUGCUUGCAAACCAAAGCUGGCGACCGGCGCACGGGUGAGUAACACGUAUCCAACCUGCCUCAUACUCGGGGAUAGCCUUUCGAAAGAAAGUUUAUUCCCGAAAUGAUUAUUUCCCCCGAGUGUUUUUUAUAAAAAAAAUUCCGGUGGGGAGUGGGAUCGUUUCCUUUUGUUUGGUGGGGGGUAACCCGCCCACAAAAACUUCGGUGGAUUGGGGUUUGGAGAGGAAGGUCCCCCCACAUUGGAAAUGGAACCCGGGUCCAAAUUCCUAGGGGGGAGCAACCAGUGAGGAAUUUUGGUCAAUGGACGGGAUUUUUGACCCAGCCAAGUAGCGUGAAGGAUGACUGCCCUAUGGGUUGUAAACUUCUUUUAUAUGGGAAUAAAGUUGUCCACGUGUGGAUUUUUGUAUGUACCAUAUGAAUAAGGAUCGGCUAACUCCGUGCCAGCAGCCGCGGUAAUACGGAGGAUCCGAGCGUUAUCCGGAUUUAUUGGGUUUAAAGGGAGCGUAGGCGGAUUGUUAAGUCAGUUGUGAAAGUUUGCGGCUCAACCGUAAAAUUGCAGUUGAUACUGGCAGUCUUGAGUGCAGUAGAGGUGGGCGGAAUUCGUGGUGUAGCGGUGAAAUGCUUAGAUAUCACGAAGAACUCCGAUUGCGAAGGCAGCUCACUGGAGUGUAACUGACGCUGAUGCUCGAAAGUGUGGGUAUCAAACAGGAUUAGAUACCCUGGUAGUCCACACAGUAAACGAUGAAUACUCGCUGUUUGCGAUAUACAGUAAGCGGCCAAGCGAAAGCAUUAAGUAUUCCACCUGGGGAGUACGCCGGCAACGGUGAAACUCAAAGGAAUUGACGGGGGCCCGCACAAGCGGAGGAACAUGUGGUUUAAUUCGAUGAUACGCGAGGAACCUUACCCGGGCUUAAAUUGCAAAUGAAUUAUGGGGAAACCCAUACGCCGCAAGGCAUUUGUGAAGGUGCUGCAUGGUUGUCGUCAGCUCGUGCCGUGAGGUGUCGGCUUAAGUGCCAUAACGAGCGCAACCCUUAUCUUCAGUUACUAACAGGUCAUGCUGAGGACUCUGGAGAGACUGCCGUCGUAAGAUGUGAGGAAGGUGGGGAUGACGUCAAAUCAGCACGGCCCUUACGUCCGGGGCUACACACGUGUUACAAUGGGGGGUACAGAAGGCCGCUACCUGGUGACAGGAUGCCAAUCCCAAAAACCUCUCUCAGUUCGGAUCGAAGUCUGCAACCCGACUUCGUGAAGCUGGAUUCGCUAGUAAUCGCGCAUCAGCCAUGGCGCGGUGAAUACGUUCCCGGGCCUUGCACACACCGCCCGUC